GAUGAACGCUGGCGGCGUGCCUAAUACAUGCAAGUCGAGCGAACGGACGAGAAGCUUGCUUCUCUGAUGUUAGCGGCGGACGGGUGAGUAACACGUGGAUAACCUACCUAUAAGACUGGGAUAACUUCGGGAAACCGGAGCUAAUACCGGAUGAUAUUUUGAACCGCAUGGUUCAAAAGUGAAAGACGGUCUUGCUGUCACUUAUAGAUGGAUCCGCGCUGCAUUAGCUAGUUGGUAAGGUAACGGCUUACCAAGGCAACGAUGCAUAGCCGACCUGAGAGGGUGAUCGGCCACACGGGAACGGAAACCCGGUCCAGACUCCUACGGGAGGCAGCAGUGGGGAAUCUUCCGCAAUGGGCGAAAGCCUGACGGAGCAACGCCGCGUGGGUGAUGAAGGUUUUCGGAUUGUAAAACUUUUUUAUUGGGGAAAAACAUAUGUGUAAGUAACUGGGCACAUCUUGACGGUACCAAAUCAGAAAACCCCGGCUAACUACGU
rnacentral:rRNA from 1 species